GAUGAACGCUGGCGGCGUGCCUAAUACAUGCAAGUCGAGCGAACAGACGAGGAGCUUGCUCCUCUGACGUUAGCGGCGGACGGGUGAGUAACACGUGGAUAACCUACCUAUAAGACUGGGAUCACUUCGGGAAACCGGAGCUAAUACCGGAUAAUAUAUUGAACCGCAUGGUUCAAUAGUGAAAGACGGUUUUGCUGUCACUUAUAGACGGAUCCGCGUCGCAUUAGCUAGUUGGUAAGGUAACGGCUUACCAAGGCAACGAUGCGUAGCCGACCUGAGCGGGUGGACGGCUACACUGGAACUGAGACACGGUCCAGACUCCUACGGUAGGCAGCAGUAGGGAAUCUUCCGCAAUGGGCGAAAGCCGGACGGAGCAACGCCGCGUGAGUGAUGAAGGUCUUCGGAUCGUAAAACUCUGUUAUUAGGGAAGAACAAAUGUGUAAGUAACUAUGCACGUCUUGACGGUACCUAAUCAGAAAGCCACGGCUAACUACGUG
rnacentral:rRNA from 1 species